GGCUGCGGGUCCCGCUCCCUCACUGUGGCUGAGCCGGCCCGAUCCUGGGCGCAUCCUCUGCCCCGGGUGCGGCGGUGGCCAGACCAGAGCCCACACCCAGGCUGAGCCUUGUCUGUACGUUUCCUUCAUAGAACUGCAAAGAAAUGUCAAACACGUGAACACAGCUAGACAACAAUCCAAGGCAAGAUGAAUGCCAGAGGAUUUUGGCAUCCUGGAAAAAACUCACCAUGGACUUUGGUUAUUCAGAAUUAGCUACUUCUUCUGUAAGGCUAUCAGUAUUCUGGAUUAACAGAAGAAAAUAGCCACCCGACCUCCAGAUGAUUUUCCACCUGUGCCUGGCAAGACUGGGGAAAACCCUGGGGCUACACUCGGGUGUCUGAUGACUGAGGGUUUUACAGAAGAGGCCUCUCCUGACAGCUUGGAGGGACUCGUCUGUCAGGAACAGCGUGAGCCUAGGAAACCUUCACCAUGAACUUUGUGUUAGAUCAUGAGUCCCAGCAUUUGGCAACAACUGAAACAUACCUCUAAAUCUUACAGAUUAUAGUACUAAGUUUAAAAUCUAGGCCUUAAAAAUACAGUAAACGUUAAAGCUUCUGGGAUUCCUAAAAUCUCCUUGCCCGGACCUUUCCUGUCCCAUAAGGGAAGAGAAUGAGUGAGGGAAGCUCAUUCUCGGCACUUCACUGUGUUCCGUGAUUGCAACUGAGCCCUGUGAAUCUCCUCUUUCUCCACCUCCACACCUCCUUUCACAGCCCCCUCAGUCCUCCCUUUCCUUGACAAACCCAAGUAAACCCCACAGUUGCCAUCAAAGCUUAUUCUGCGAAGAUCCACUUCCAGUUAGUCUGGGGUCAGUGAGGCGCCUAGAAUGAGAUGGUUUUCAGAAUUACACUACCGACAGAAUAUAUUUUGAACAUGUUUUAAAAGGUAUUCUUGAAUAUCUUACUUCUUCACACUAUUAUAAUAGUUCCAGACUUUGCUCCAAGAAAAUAAAUAAAAAAUGAUGCCAGUAUUCAAAUUUAAAGAAAACUUAAGGAAAAUCAGUUGGUUCUGUACAAACUUACAUGUAAAACUAAAAGAUAAUAAAAAUUACAAUUAAGAAAC